UACGUAGGGGGCAAGCGUUGUCCGGAUUUAUUGGGCGUAAAGAGCGUGUAGGCGGUUAGGUAGGUCCGUUGUGAAAACUCGAGGCUCAACCUCGAGACGCCGAUGGAAACCAUCUGACUAGAGUCCGGAAGAGGAGAGUGGAAUUCCUGGUGUAGCGGUGAAAUGCGCAGAUAUCAGGAAGAACACCCGUGGCGAAGGCGGCUCUCUAGUACGUGACUGACGCUGAGACGCGAAAGCGUGGGGAGCGAACAGG
rnacentral:rRNA from 1 species